CGGCAUGUAGCUCAGUGGUUAGAGCAUCGCUCUUAUAAAGCGAGGGUCGCAGGUUCGAUUCCUGCCAUGCCGACCA
rnacentral:tRNA from 1 species